rnacentral:rRNA from 1 species
GACGAACGCUGGCGGCGUGCCUAAUACAUGCAAGUAGAACGAGUUGCGAACGGGUGAGUAACGCGUGGUAACCUGCCUCAUAGCGGGGGAUAACUAUGGGAAACGAUAGCUAAUACCGCAUACUGUGAGAUGGACCUGCGUUGUAUUAGCUAGUUGGUGAGGUAAAGGCUCACCAAGGCGACGAUACAUAGCCGACCUGAGAGGUGGAUCCGCCACCCAGGACCUGAGACACGGCCCAGCCUCCUUCGGUGGGCAGCAUUGGGGAAUAUUGCUCAAUGGGCGCAAGCCUGCUGCAGCCAUGCCGCGUGUAGGUAGGAGGCCUUCGGGUUGUAAAGUACUUUCAGCGGGGAGGCGUUACCCGCAGAAGUAGCACCGGCUAACUCCGUGCCAGCCGCCGCGGUAAUAC